rnacentral:rRNA from 1 species
CCUACGGGGGGCAGCAGUGGGGAAUAUUGCACAAUGGGCGCAAGCCUGAUGCAGCCAUGCCGCGUGUAUGAAGAAGGCCUUCGGGUUGUAAAGUACUUUCAGCGGGGAGGAAGGCGAUAAGGUUAAUAACCUUGUCGAUUGACGUCACCCGCAGAAGAAGCACCGGCUAACUCCGUGCCAGCAGCCGCGGUAAUACGGAGGGUGCAAGCGUUAAUCGGAAUUACUGGGCGUAAAGCGCGCGCAGGCGGUCUGUCAAGUCGGAUGUGAAAUCCCCGGGCUCAACCUGGGAACUGCAUUCGAAACUGGCAGGCUGGAGUCUUGUAGAGGGGGGUAGAAUUCCAGGUGUAGCGGUGAAAUGCGUAGAGAUCUGGAGGAAUACCGGUGGCGAAGGCAGCCCCCUGGACAAAGACUGACGCUCAGGUGCGAAAGCGUGGGGAGCAAACAGGAUUAGAUACCCCAGUAGUC